GUUCAAGUCCCUCUAUCCCCA
rnacentral:tRNA from 72 species